rnacentral:piRNA from 1 species
UCACCGUCGAGAGUGAAUUAACAGGACAAACG